rnacentral:rRNA from 1 species
UACGUAGGGGGCUAGCGUUGUCCGGAAUCAUUGGGCGUAAAGCGCGCGUAGGCGGCCCGGUAAGUCCGCUGUAAAAGUCAAAGGCUCAACCUUUGAAUGUCAGUGGAUACUGCCGGGCUAGAGUCCGGAAGAGGCGAGUGGAACUCCUGGUGUAGCGGUGGAAUGCGCAGAUAUCAGGAAGAACACCGACGGCGAAGGCAGCUCGCUGGGACGGUACUGACGCUGAGGCGCGAAAGCAUGGGGAGCGAACAGG